AAUAUCAAAGGGGGGAACACAUUGCACAGAGAGGGUGUGGACUCUCCCUCACUGGAGAUAUUCCAGAACAGUCUGGACACAAUCCUGUGCCAUGUGCU